ACAGGUGAUGCUGACUUUGGAGGACAAGGACAUGAAGGGGUUCACGUGGGCCAUAGCCCCAGCCUUGACCUCCCUGGGCUACCUGCUUAUACUGCUGGUCUCCAUCUUUCCCUUCUGGGUGCGGCUUGUAAACGAGGAGUCCCACGAAGUGUUUUUCAGUGGCCUGUUUGAGAACUGUUUCCAUAUCAAAUGCUGGAAGCCUCGACCCUUAUCAGGUAAGGAGGGAUGGAGGUGGGGAUGGGGCAGAGGGAGAUGGGGCCAGUGUGGGCAGUUUGGGUGACAGAGAGGACAGAAUUUAAUAAGCCCCUAAGGGCAUUUUCUGAGUCUCUACUUUUGGGGUUAGAGGAAAGUAGUGGCCAGGAGAAGGUUGAUAAUAUCAGGUUGACCACCAGGGUCAGGAGCAAAUGUGUCAGCAACAAAGUUUAUUUGCGGGGUAGGACUGGCUCCAUCUAGGAUGGAGGGGUGGGGGUCCUGCCCUACUCUGUGAGAUUGGAUUUCAGCCUCACUUCCAAACACCCGUCCAACUGUGGGUGGCUGCUCUACAGAGAAUGUGCUCAGGCCUGAGGACAUUUCGAAGGGAAUGCACAGAAAUACGAGCUCAGUGGACUGUGGAUGCACUUGAGGCUGUGUUUUUAUAAGGGGCUUGAGAGGGUCAGGGGGAUGUCUGUCUUGGAAAGGAGGUGAACCUGGGGGAUAUAGGGGUUCUCUCCUGAUAACAGAAGAGGAGAAGCCUCUUUGGGGGAAGAUGGGCCACACUGUGUGAGCUCCUUGACCUGGAGUUGCUCAGCCUCGGUACUACUGACACUUUGGCUGGAAAAUCUUUGUUGCGGGGCUCUCCUGUUGUUUGCAGGACAGUUAGUAGCACCCCUGCCCUCUACGGCCCACUUGAUGCCAGUAGCACCCCUUACCCUCAGUUGUGACAACCAACUUACCUCUUAGCAUUGCCAAAUAUCCCCGGGGUGAGGAGGUGCAAACCUGCCUCCAGUUGAAAACCAUUGGUUUAGCCUAAGAGUAGAUUCUAGAAGUUUAGCGAUACCUUUGUCUUAGGAGUUUAGUGAUACGUUUGUCUUUUUGUCCCACCCCCAGCUGUCCAUCUCUGCGUGCUUAGAAGGCUAUAAAAACUCAUAUUAACGGCAGCUCUUUCUGCCCAUGGGUCCUGUCCCCAUGCUUUAAUAAAAUCAUCUUUUUUUGCACCACCCCCCCCAAAGAAACCCUAAAAACCUCAUUUUAACAUGGGUCUGAAUCAUGCCAAUAAUAGGGGAAUAAAUCACCCUGUCAUCAAGUCCCUUGCUCUGCUAUUUUGGAUCUAUUUCAUGACUUGUGUUAACUGGGAUAAUUAAAUAAGCAUUCCCCACAGAGUUCAGAACAUCUCAACCUCACAGGUUCUGAUUUUCCACCAGCCACUUAUUUCAGUGUGACCAGUAUUGAUGGAGUUCUUCACAUUUCCACAUGCAACUUGUAUCAUUUAUGUUGCUUACUAAAAUGACUGUUUGUCCAUCUAAUUUUUUUCCCCCAUACACUUCCAUGUCAUGGGGAACAAAAUGUUGGAACCAGAGCAUUCAUUGUUGGGGGCAAAGUGGAGGGGUCAGAGCUGGGGUCCCAGGCCAUGCUGUGGGACUGAGGGUGGUAAGCUGGUGGGGGGGGGCUUCUCUUUGCAGGCUCUGCGGGGCUCUGUCCCUUGUCAUGGGUCAGGUGUCCAGCUGCAGCCCAGCCUCCCCUCCCCCACAGUGUACAUCAUUCUCGGCCGCGUUUUCCUGCUGUCCGCGGUUGUCCUGUCUUUCCUCACCACCUUCAUCCUGGUGUCCUUUGCAUCUCAGCUGUUUCCGAGGACCCGGAAGCACAAUUUGGUGUCAGCCUUCAUCAGCUUCCUCACAGGUGUGGAAUAGGCAGGCAAGCCUUGUUGUCAGGCAGGCCUCAGCCUUGGGAAGGGGCUGGGGAGGGGCCCAAAGGCAGGGAGAUGGUUGGUCUCUGUGGUGUCAGGAGAGAGAAUUUUUAGGGACCCUCUCACCUGUGGCCUUCUCGGAGGCAGCCUUCCCCCCCACCCCGGAUCACAGUCCCUCUCUCUGAGGCUGCACAGCACCCUGUACUUCCAGCUAGCUCCACCCUCACUAUGUUGGCUUGGGGUCAUUUGUCUGGGGGUCUUUUUACCAUAAUCUCUAUCCCAGUGACUUUCAUAGAAUCUGACACAGAAUGAUAAUACACAAGUGAAAUAUGUGAGUGAAAUAUAAGUGUUUGUUGGAUGAAUGGAUGGAAGACACCAUCUCUGCCCUUUGGAACCUUUUGACUUUAAAAGGCUGGCCAAGGCCCUACCCUGGGAGGCUUCCAUCACAUGGAGGAGGUGGAACGCUCACAGUGGGAAAAUCAGGUUGAAUUGCACCCAAAGCAUCACACCCAGAGGGCCCCGUCUGGAGUCAGCCAAUGGCACAGGCACAGAGGGUACCCGGGAAAGGGAUUUCUGGUUAUGGGGCCUCUGGGAGGUGAGGCACAUGGGCUUUGAAAUGUGUUGGGAAGGAGGGCAAGACAGGCAUGUGGGGUAGAGGUUAUUGACUCUGAGAGGGCACAGGUGUGGGCUGGAGAAAGGAGCCUCCAUGUAGGAACCAUACAGGCUGUAAGCCAUGUGACUCUGUCUGAUUAAGAGCAAAGGUGGGAACCAUGUGAGGAGAUCAAGAGUGCUUCCCUAUGACCCUGCAGGGGCCAGUGCCUUCCUGGCCUUGUUGCUGCAUGCCCUGGAGAUCCAGAAUCUGAGGAUGAAGCCCAGCCCCCCCAAGUUCUCGGUGCAGUGGCCUUACUACGUUCUGGGCUUUGCCAUCCUUCUGUUCAUAGUGGCUGGUGAGUGUCCUGGGGCUGGUGCCCUUCUCCCUGCCCUCUGUCUGGAUUCAGAAGCCAUGGACACUCUAGAGCAACACUGUCCAAAACUGUGGUCACUAGCUACUUGUGGCCAUUUCAUUACUUAAAAUGAAAUAAAUAGAAAUUCAGUUUCUCGGUCAUGCUAGCCACAUUUCAGAUGUUCAGUAACCACAUUAUUAUGUGUCUAGUGGCUGCCAUAUUGAAUGGUGCAGAUGCAGAUAUUUCCAUCGUUGCAGAAAGUUCUACUCAACAGCACUGCUCUAGAGCCUCAGCCCUAUAGCCCAUCUUCCUCCUCUUUGACUUUGGAACCAACCCCCAGAUCUCCUAUUCUGUCUUACUCUGUCCUGGCUCCUAAGGGUUUCUAUGCCUAUCUAUAUCUAUCUCGGAAUCUACAAUCUUAUUCACCUCAGUCUCGCUUUACUCUCUUAUUUUAUAUACAUCACCGUCUAAGUCUCGAUCCUAUUUGAUUUUGUCCUUUUUCCUAAUCUUCUUCCUACUAUAUUAAUCUGACCCAUGACAUAAUCUGUGUUAACUUGAUUUUAUUAUACACUGAAUAUAUAAAAACAUUUAUAAUAUAUAAGAGGUAAUUAAAAAUAAACUGUGCAUCCAUUUCCACCAUAUAGUUUAAGAACUAGCCAUAUUUUCAUGGAAUCCAUUGUUUGUAAGUUACACCUUUAUUUUAUUUACCACUGAAAGAGAAAAAAGGAUGCUAGGAAUAAUUAUAAGGUGGUAUAACUUGUAAGGCACAUCCUUAUUUCAGAGAUGUUAAGUGAAGAAAAUUGGCUUGUCUGCAUUAAUGAAAUAUGUUAGAAUAUUAAGAAUCUUUGAAGUCCUGCCCCCUCAACCAUGUGGCUCUUCCUGAUCUUGUCCUCCUCUCUCCCCUCGGGAACCAAUUAUUCUGCAAUUUAUGAUAAUCAUAUUACUACACACAUAUAUAUCCUUAAUAUAUUACUUAGUCUUACAUGUUUUAAAACUUUGUAUAAUCAUACUAUAUUUAUUUUUCUGGAACUUGUUAUGUUUGAUCAACAUUGUAACCUCCAUGGUAAUAUGAGGAACUCUUAAGGUUCAUUCAUUUUUACCAUCUUAAGUAUUUAACUGUAUAACUAAGCUUGCCUGUAGAAGGAAUAUGGUAUUUCUCUGUGGGAGAAUUUUAAGCUCACGAUUCAGUUUCUUAAAUGACUGUAGGACUAUUUAGGUAUUUUAUUUCCUUUUGAGUUAGUUUCAGUAAUUUAUAUAUGUCUAUAAGCUUAUACAUUUUGUUUAAAAUUUGAAAUUUAUUGGCAUAAGUUUAUUCAAAAUGUUUUCUUUUUUAACUCUUUAUUUUGUGAUGCACCUGUAGUGAUGUGCUUCUUUUUUCAUACCUAAUUUUCUUUUUUCAUUGCCAAUUUUGUCAGAGGUUUACCAUAUUUUUAGUCAUUUCAAAGAACCAGGUUUAAGCUUUCUUGAACCUUCAUAUUUUAUGUUUGUUUUCUAUUGAAUUAAUUUUUACUUCUUAUUUUGAACUUCCUUCCCUACUUCUUUUUUGCAUUUAUUCUGCUAUUCCGUUUCCAGCUUCUUAAAUCACGAUCCAAACUCAUGGCUUACUUCUUCUUUUCUAAGUAGACAAUUAAAGCUCUAAUUUCCCUGUAAGAAUUGCUUUAUUUGAAUCUCCCAUUUUCAUAUGUAAUAUUUUAUGUUAUUGUUCUAUUUCAAACAUUUUCCAGUUCCCCUUAUGAUAUUUUGGAUCCAUGAAGUAUUUUAAAAUAUACUUUUAAAUUUCUAAGCAUGUAAUUUUUUACUGUAUCUUGUGUUAAUGAUUUUAACUUAAUUUCAAUUUGAUGAGAGAUCAUGGUCUGUAUAAUCCUAAUGUGUUCAGAUUUAUUGAGACAUGUUUUAUAGUCUAGUUUGAGGUCCACUUUCAUGUUUUAUGUUGAAUACAACUUUUCAUUUAUAAACAUUAGAUCAAGCUUGUUUAUUAUAUUGUUCAAAUCUUGAUUUAGAAUUGUUCUGUUUUACUGGUGAAUUGAACUUUUAAAAAUUUUUUUUUCAAUGUUUUUUAUUUAUUUUUGGGACAGAGAGAGACAGAGCAUGAACGGGGGGAGGGGCAGAGAGAGAGGGAGACACAGAAUCGGAAACAGGCUCCAGGCUCCGAGCCAUCAGCCCAGAGCCCGACGCGGCCAUCAGCCCAGAGCCCGACGCGGGGCUCGAACUCACGGACCGCGAGAUCGUGACCUGGCUGAAGUCGGACGCUUAACCGACUGCGCCACCCAGGCGCCCCUAAAUUGAACUUUUAUUUAAUCAUUAUGCCAUGAUCUUUUUUAUUUCUAGAAAUCCCUUUUGUUAAAGUCUGUUUUAUCUGAUAUUACUCUAGCUAUUUCUACAUUCUUUAGGUUAGUAUUUGCCUGUUAUAUAUCUUUUUGAUCUUUUACUUAUAUGUAACACAUAGCUUAUGAUUGUAUUUUUUCAUCUAGUCUUACAAUCUUUGUUUUUUUAAAUGUUUAUUUAUUUUUGAGAGAGAGAGAGAGAGAGAGAGAGAGAGAGAAUGAGAAUGAGAAUACAAGUGGGGGAGGGGCAGAGAGAAGGGGAGACACAGAAGCCGAAGCAGGCUCCAGGCUCUGAGGUCUCAGUACAGAGCCUGACUCAGGGCUCAGUCUCACGAACUGUGAGAUGAUGACCUGAGCCAAAGUCGGGCACUUAAUCCACGGAGUCACCUAGGCUCCCCCUACACUCUUUGUCUUUUAACUGGAGCAUUUAUUAUUGACUGACAUUUAUUGUGACUACUGAUACAUUUGAUCCUUUUUUUUGAAGUUUAUUUUAUUUACUUUGAGAGAGAGAGAGUGAGAGUGGGAGAGGGGCAGAGAGAGAGGAAGACAGAGAAUCCCAAGCAGGCUCCACACUGCCAGUGCAGAUCCCAACGUGGGGCUCGAUCUCAAGAACUGUGAGAUUAUGACCUCAGCCAAUAUCAAGAGUUGGACACCUGAUUGACUGAGCCACCCAGGUGCCCCAUAUUUGUAUUUUUUCUACCACCUUACCUCGUGCUUUCAAUUUUUUCUGCUCCCCAGUCCCACCUCUCUUGCCUUGCUUCUAAUUGAUUGACUUUUAUCUAUACAUUUCUCAUUAUAUCCUCCCCCUCUUUAGUUUGGAAGUUAUGAAAUCUAUUUGUAUUCUUGUAGUAGUUACUCUUGACAUUUUAAUACAUUUACUUAACAAAGUUGGAAGUUCAUCAACACAUUUAUUUUCUUCAUAAGUAAUACAAGGUACUUCCCUCCUAAUUUAUAUGCUAUUUUGCACAAUGUUUUAGUUUCUUCUGUUUUCUUUUAGUUCUAUAUAUUUGACAGUAUUGUUACUUUAUGCAUUUAAUAUUUAUUUGUUUAAAUUUACCCACAUAUUUAUCAGUUUAGAUGCUCAUCAAACCUCAGACCUUCUGUCUAAGGACCCUCUGUCCUUCUGCCUGAAAUACAUCCUUUAUAAUGUGUUUUAGUGAGGUUCAGUUAGAGAUACACUUUCUCUCAUAUUUUGUUUGUAUGAAAUUAUCUUCCUUUCAUUUUUGUUUACUAAAAUUAAUUUUGCCAUACUUACAUUUUUUUAGAUAGUAUUUUUUUAAGUUUAUUUAUUUUGAGAGAGAGAGAGAGAAUAUCCCGUUCUCAAACUCACGAACUGCAAAAUCAUGACCUGAGCCCAAAUCAAGAUGCUUAACCAACUGAGCCACCCAGGCGGCCUACUGUACUUACAUUUUUUUUUAAUUUUUUUUUUAACGUUUAUUUAUUUUUUGAGACAGAGAGAGACAGAGCAUGAAUGGGGGAGGGUCACAGAGAGAGGGAGACACAGAAUCUGAAACAGGCUCCAGGCUCUGAGCUGUCAGCUCAGAGCCCGACGCNCCCGACGCGGGGCUUGAACCCACGGACCGUGAGAUCAUGACCUGAGCCGAAGUCGGACGCUCAACCGACUGAGCCUCCCAGGCGCCCCUGUACUUACAUUUUUAAGUUGACAGUAUUCUCACAGCAUUCAAGAUAUUCUGUUAUUACUUUACCACUUCCAUUGUUGUUGUUAAGCUGACUCUGUAAAAAUAUCAUUCUUUUGGGACACUUGGGUGGCUCAGUCGGUUGAGUGUCAGACUUUGGCUCAGGUCAUGAUCUCGAGGUUCGUGAGUUCGAGCCCCGCAUCAGGCUGUCUGCUGUCAGUGCAGAGUAUGCUCGGAUCCUGUGUCUCCCUCUCUCUCUGCCCUUCCCCCACUCUCUCUCGUGCUCUCUCUCUGUCAAAAAUAAAUAAACAUUUAAACAGUAUAUCAUUUAAAAAAAAUUUUAAUGUUUGUUUAUUUUUGAGAGAGAGAGACAGACAGAGCACAAGCUGGGGAGGGGCAGAGAGAGAGGAAGACACAGAAUUUGAAGCGGGCUCCAGGCCCCACACCGUUAGCACAGAGCGUGGGGCUCGAACUCAUGAACUGUGAGAUCAUGACCUGAGCCGAAGUCAGAGGCUCAACUGACUGAGCCACCCAGGCACCCCUAUAUCAUUCUUUUUGAGGCACUCUUUGUUUUCUGUAAGGCUUUCUUGGGCAUUUUGCAGAGUGUAGAUAUUUGUGUUAUGAUUUGUGGUGUGAACUGAGUCUGAGGAGUAAUGUCUUUCAGAAUUUCUCAAAUAUUUUUAUCUUCUUUCUAUAUUCUUUCCCUCUUUUCCAGGAAGACGUAUGUUAGACUUUGUUACUGUAUCCUGCAUGUGUGUGUCUCUCUCUCUUGCUUUCCAUUUCUUUGCUUUCCCCCCCCCCCCCUUCUAUCUCUUUGUCUUUCUGGGCUGUAUUCUGAAUAACUUGUAUAGAUGUAUCUUCAAUUUAAUCCAUUCACUUUUUAGCUGUGUCUGAUCUGCUAUUUAACUUAUCCAUUAAUUAUUUUAGUCAAUCUGUUUUUAUAACCAGAAGUUAUAUUUUUCCUUAAUGCUUGUUAUUUUUUAUACUCUUUUCUCUACUUAUAUUUUUAAUCUAUUCUAUAAAUAUAUUUUUAUUAUACAUGUUAAACAUACUUUACAUUCUGUGUUUAUAAGUUUAACAACUGAAAUACAAGUCUGUCUGUUGGCUGCUGCUUUUGCAGGCUUUUGCUUAUGGCAUCUUAUUUCUUGGUACAGUUGUGAUUUUUGACUGUGAAUUAUUUUCCUUGAAAAAAAUUAUUUUUUGGUGGAAAUCCUUUGAAGCCUGUAUGUAAAGUAUUUUCUCAAAAAAGGAUCUGCAUUUGUUUCUGCUUGGUGCUUAUAUGCACAACUAGCCUAGAAUCACAUAGGUAUUUGUGUAGUUGCAGAUCCAUAUAAUAGCUAGCCUCUGUUGAUGAGUUCUUAGUCAAUGUUGGUAACUUCAAAGUUCUAGCUUUGUAGACCCUUGUUAGAUUCAUCUUGAGUAGGCCCUGGGCUUUUCCUCUCAUUUUAUGUGUCCCAAAAGGCCCGCAGAAUGGAAACUCAGGGUCACCGGAGUUGAGUGUAUGUCUCCAAGGUGAAGGCUAAUUGUGUGCUUGCUUAACUCUCUAGGUUCCUGUUUUCACUAGAGUUUUGUUUCUAAGAAUGCCUUACUCUGAUGCCAGUUUGCUGAUAUAUUUACAAAUUAGUUUUUGAAGAAAAAUCUUAUUUAGAAUUUUUGUCGUUUUUAGUGGGAGGGUAUGUAGUCUGCUAUAUUGCUGAAAAUAGAAGUUGUCCUUUAUCUGAGUCUUUAAUACAGCAUUUACUGUUCACUCAAGAUACCUCUAUUUGUUUUAUGACAUCAAUUCUCUUCUUCCAUUUUACUUUACUGAGGGUCUUGAGUUGCAUCAAAAAGCCUGGGUUUUAUGUCUUAAACCUCUUUUUCUUGCCUAUUAAUAGUUAGACAGUUGCUAAGAUGCCUUCCAACACUGGCUGUGCUUCUGUGAGUUUAUCCAUAAAUUUGUAUGCCUUGUCUUGUGAUGGGUCCUGUUUUCCCAUCUAUCUCUGUAAUUCUCUACAUCGGAGGGGAGAACUAGGGAAGGUGGGUGCAGACCGGAAGGGGUCACACAUUAAAGGAGGGAGUGCCUGACCUCUAGGGCACGGAGAGCUCGACUCAACUCUGACCUGAACUUUUGCUGUCACCCAGGUGCCAUCUGCCUCUUUCAAGAAGCAGCCUGCCUUCGCUGCCGUUUGUUGCCCAAUUCCCAGAGUAUCCAGGAGACCCAAGGGGUCAUACACCUGGAGAAUAUGGAGAGUCUGGGAGGAGACCUGAGCUCAAUACAAAAGGAGACACUGCUGAAGGAAGAAACAAUUAUCUAGUCCAGGAGAGCGUCCUCCGCCAUCGGCAGCUGUGUGAGUGCGUGUGUGGAGGCGUAAGCGGCAGCCAGUUUCUGCUGUUUUUGGUGAGCUUCCUGAGUGUCAGAUCCAUGUUCUACUUCCCCACACUCACAGUGAUUCUGUCUUGCUUGUAUUUGCAAUUCGUUAAAA
rnacentral:lncRNA from 1 species